rnacentral:ribozyme from 1 species
UAUAUGGAAACGCACACAAACCAAAUUAUAUGGAAACGCACACAAAACCAAAAUGUAUGGAAUCACACCCAUUAUUCAGAUGAAUGAAAACACAAAAACAAUUUCAAGAUCAGAAAU